AAAAGAGUUUAAGAUGGUAUUAUAAAUUAAUAAAUAUAUUUUAAAAAAGGGUGUAUCUCCGGUUGAUGAGUUUUUUUCGAUGACUCUUUCGGUCAUAAUCCCUUUUACAUUU